rnacentral:rRNA from 1 species
CCGAAGACGAAACGUAAGCUGGCGGCGUGCUUUUCAUGCAGUCGAGCGGAAGGCGGGAGUUGCUCCCUGAUGUUAGUGGCGGACGGGUGAGUAACACGUGGGUGACCUGCCCGGCACUUUGGGAUAACUUCGGGAAACCGGGUCUAAUACCGGAUAUGUUGUUUUCUUGGAUGUUGUGGUGGAAAGCUGUGGCUUCGGGUACCACUUCUGAAUGGACCCGCGGCGCAUUAGCUAGUUGGUGAGGUAACGGCUCACACGGGCAACGAUGCUUAGCCGACCUGAGAAGGUGAUCGGACUCACUGGCACUGAAACACCGUACAGACUCCUACAGUAGGCAACAUUACGGAAUCUUCCCCAAUGUACUAAAGUCUGACCGAGUAACGCCUCAUGAGUGAUGAAUGUUUUCGGAUCGUAAAUCUCUGUUGUUAGGGAUGAGCAGAUACCGUUCAAAUAGGGCGGUACCUUGACGGUACCUAACCAGAAAGCCACGGCUAAUUACGUGCCAGCAUCCGCGGUAAUACGUAGGUGUCAAGCGUUGUCCGGGAAUUAUUGCGCGUAAGGGCUCGCACGCGGUUCUUAAGUCUGAUGUGAAAGCCCCCCGGCUCAUCGGUGAGGGUCAUUGGAAACUGGGGAACUUGAGUGCUAAGAGGAAGUGGGAAUUCCACGUGAAGCAGGUCAGAUGCUUAGAGAUUCGAGAACACCAUGGCGAUGCAGCUUCUUUUGUCAGUAACUGACGCUGAGGAGCGAAGCAUGGUAGCGAACAAGAUAGAUACCUGUAGUCCACGCCAUAAACGAUGAGCGCUAAGUGUAGGGGCUUCCAGCUCUUUAUUGCUGCAGCUAACGCAUUAAGCACUCCCGCCUGGGAGUACGUCGCAAGACUGAAACUCAAUGAAAUGACGGGGGCCCGCACAAGCCGUGGAAGCAUGUGUAUUAUUUCGAAUCAACGCGGAAGAACCCUAACAUGGUCUUGACAUCGUAUGACAAUCGUAGAGAUAUGAUCUCUCCCUCGGGGGCAGAAUGACAGUUGGUGCAUGGUUGUCGUCAGCUCGCGUCGUGAGAUGUUGGGUUAAGUCCCGCAACGAGCGCAACCCUUUAUUAUAGUUGCCAGCAUUCAGGUGGGCACUUCAAGGGGGAUGCCGGUGACAAACCGGAGGAAGGUGGGGAAGGCGUCAAAUCCUCCUUCCCCUUAUGACCCGGGGUACCCCCCUGGUACAAUGGACAGAACAAAGGGCAGCGAACCCGCGAGGGUAAGGCAAUUCCACAAAUCUGUUCUCAUUUUGGAUCGCAGUCUGCAAGUCGACCCCAGAAGCUGGGAUCGGCAGUAAUCGCGGUACAGCAUGCCGCGGGGAAAACGUUCCCCGGCCCCGUACACACCCCCCGCUACACCACGAGAGUUUGGAACACCCGAGAACGCAGAGGUAACCCCUAGGAGCCAGCCGCCGAAGGGGACAGAGAUGGGGGAAGUAAUAACAAGGUAGCCGACCGAACGUUUUUUUU